GCGAGAGCAGGUCAGGUUGCGGGGACAAAAACCAGAGAUAAAUUCAAUCUAGCUAUCUCAAACCUGACCUCCAAGGAUCCUCCUAUUGCUGUGUAGUGAAAAAGCUUGGAAAUUCUCUCGAAUUCAAUCCGAGCAACCAUUCGAUUGGUGGCAUUGCGUUUCGGGGAUCAAGUUUUGUGUGAAAAUUGCGUCUGUAUUCUUUGAUGUUCUUCAUAUCUUGUCUUGUGUCUGGUGCUUUGUGUUGUCUCCCCGUUGUGUCACUUUCCUUUCCUUCAUGUGUGGGUUUGAAUAUCUGAAAUCCUCAGGGACUCGUAUCAUUCCGAUAAAGCUAGUGUGGGAAUUAUUAAAAGGCUUUCCGAAUUAAUUUAAUCGUUUUUUUAA